rnacentral:tRNA from 1 species
GGGGCCUUAGCUUAAUUAAAGUGUCUGUGUUGCAGUCAGAGGAUGUAGAUUAGAGUUCCACAGGUCCUGCGG